UGGGGAAUAUUGGACAAUGGGCGAAAGCCUGAUCCAGCAAUGCCGCGUGAGUGAUGAAGGCCUUAGGGUUGUAAAGCUCUUUUACCCGGGAUGAUAAUGACAGUACCGGGAGAAUAAGCCCCGGCUAACUCCGUGCCAGCAGCCGCGGUAAUACGGAGGGGGCUAGCGUUGUUCGGAAUUACUGGGCGUAAAGCGCGCGUAGGCGGCUUUGUAAGUUAGAGGUGAAAGCCCGGAGCUCAACUCCGGAACUGCCUUUAAGACUGCAUCGCUAGAAUUGUGGAGAGGUGAGUGGAAUUCCGAGUGUAGAGGUGAAAUUCGUAGAUAUUCGGAAGAACACCAGUGGCGAAGGCGACUCACUGGACACAUAUUGACGCUGAGGUGCGAAAGCGUGGGGAGCAAACAGG
rnacentral:rRNA from 1 species